rnacentral:rRNA from 1 species
GAUGAACGCUGGCGGCGUGCCUAAUACAUGCAAGUCGAGCGAACAGACGAGGAGCUUGCUCCUCUGACGUUAGCGGCGGACGGGUGAGUAACACGUGGAUAACCUACCUAUAAGACUGGGAUAACUUCGGGAAACCGGAGCUAAUACCGGAUAAUAUAUUGAACCGCAUGGUUCAAUAGUGAAAGACGGUUUUGCUGUCACUUAUAGAUGGAUCCGCGCCGCAUUAGCUAGUUGGUAAGGUAACGGCUUACCAAGGCAACGAUGCGUAGCCGACCUGAGAGGGUGGACGGCCACCCCGGGACUGAGGCCCCGUCCCGACUCCUACGGGAGGCAGCAGUAGGGAAUCUUCCGCAAUGGGCGAAAGCCUGACGGAGCAACGCCGCGUGAGUGAUGAAGGUCUUCGGAUCGUAAAACUCUGUUAUUAGGGAAGAACAAAUGUGUAAGUAACUAUGCACGUCUUGACGGUACCUAAUCAGAAAGCCACGGCUAACUACGUG